GCCCGAAUGGCGAAAUCGGUAGACGCAAAGGACUUAAAAUCCUUGGCCUUUGGCAUGCGGGUUCGAGUCCCGCUUCGGGCACCA
rnacentral:tRNA from 2 species